GCGCAGCUUACACAUGCAGUCGAGCGGUAACAGGGGGUGCUUGCACCCCGCUGACGAGCGGCGGACGGGUGAGUAAUGCAUAGGAAUCUGCCCAGUAGUGGGGGAUAGCCCGGGGAAACCCGGAUUAAUACCGCAUACGCCCUUUGGGGGAAAGCAGGGGAUCUUCGGACCUUGCGCUAUUGGAUGAGCCUAUGUCGGAUUAGCUAGUUGGUGGGGUAAAGGCCUACCAAGGCGACGAUCCGUAGCUGGUCUGAGAGGAUGAUCAGCCACAUCGGGACUGAGACACGGCCCGAACUCCUACGGGAGGCAGCAGUGGGGAAUAUUGGACAAUGGGGGCAACCCUGAUCCAGCCAUGCCGCGUGUGUGAAGAAGGCUUUCGGGUUGUAAAGCACUUUCAGUGAGGAGGAAAACCUUCUGGUUAAUACCCAUGAGGCUUGACGUUACUCACAGAAGAAGCACCGGCUAACUCCGUGCCAGCAGCCGCGGUAAUACGGAGGGUGCAAGCGUUAAUCGGAAUUACUGGGCGUAAAGCGCGCGUAGGUGGUUUGAUAAGCGAGAUGUGAAAGCCCCGGGCUUAACCUGGGAACGGCAUUUCGAACUGUCAG
rnacentral:rRNA from 1 species